CAAUAUCAUUUUCCAGAAACUUCAAAAAAAAAAAAAAAAAAGAAGAGAGGGGGUGGAACCCCUUCCCUCACCCGUGUCCCUUUUCUCUCUCUCCUUCAACUCAGCUCAUCUCCUCUUGCUCUUUGACGGCGAUCCUCGCCGUGGAUCCCUCCUCACCAACACCCUUAUUGUUGUUGUGUUAUGUUGUUGUUGAUGCCCUAUUCUUCCUCGUCUGCCUCCCCUGCCUCCUCUACUCUGCUCGUCGGGUCCCGUGGCCCGACGGGUCACUGUUGUUGCUGCUCCUUGUUGGGUUGUUGAUCUCGUUGUUAUUGCUGCACCCUGACUCCCUAUUCUCUAUGGGUGUCGUUGAAUUAUGGAUUUUAGCAGAGGUUGAUGAUCGAAAUGUAUAGUUCUUGGAGCUUAUAUCGAAGUGUUAAAACAUUUUGCAGGCAGCAAAGAUCGAGUCUAGUUCAAGGUUCAAGGUGCCUAAAGUUCUCCAAAGGUCUCAUUUGGCUCAAGGCGGGGUUACGAAUUCACUAAGGUGUAAUUAAGUCUUUAGUAUUAUUCCUUAUAAGAGGUCUUAGUUCAUAAUUUAUGGAUUCUUAAUCCUUGUCAAGUUUGAAAUUAAGUUAGAUUGUAUUUUGAGUUAAGUUGUUCAAUUCAAGGUUAAGUUUGCUAGUUUAUUAAGAGUGGGUUGUUGCAAUGACGCUCUGGUGAUGUUUUGGAAAAUGUUAUAUGUUGGAAUGAUGUAAUAGCAGGUGAAAGAAAAUCUGACUUAAUUUCCUAAAUAAUAUUUUUAGG